rnacentral:rRNA from 1 species
GACAGAGGAUGCAAGCGUUCUCCGGAAUGAUUGGGCGUAAAGCGUCCGUAGGUGGCUUUUUAAGUCUGCCGUCAAAUCCCAGGGCUUAACCCUGGACAGGCGGUGGAAACUACCAAGCUGGAGUACGGUAGGGGCAGAGGGAAUUUCCGGUGGAGCGGUGAAAUGCGUAGAUAUCGUUUGGAACGCCAAUGGUGAAAACAGGUUGCUGGGAGUGUGCUGACGCUGAGACACGAAAGCCAGGGGAGCGAACGGG